GGAUGUGAGGACGAUCUGGUUGCAACAUCUGUCACCCCAUUGAUCGCCAGGGUUGAUUAGGCUAAUAUGGCUGGCUAGGUGGGUGUCCCUUGCCUCCCUCACCUAUCCAUGUGCAUCCCUCCCGAAGAGAAGACCAGUCUUCAGUCAAGACAUAUGAGUAGCUGCACUCUCCUGGUAGAACCUCCAAACAAGCUCUCAAAGAAAAAAAUACUACAUCAGAAAAAUAUAUUCACCAUGUUCAGUGCACCAUUAUUUAUAAUAGCUAACAAACUAAGUGUACAUAGAU
rnacentral:snRNA from 1 species